rnacentral:rRNA from 1 species
UACGUAGGGGGCAAGCGUUGUCCGGAUUUAUUGGGCGUAAAGAGCGUGUAGGCGGUUUGGUAGGUCCGCUGUGAAAACUCGAGGCUCAACCUCGAGACGCCGGUGGAAACCAUCAGACUAGAGUCCGGAAGAGGAGAGUGGAAUUCCUGGUGUACCGGUGAAAUGCGCAGAUAUCAGGAAGAACACCCGUGGCUAAGGCGGCUCUCUAGUACGGUACUGACGCUGAGACGCGAAAGCGUGGGGAGCGAACAGG